AAUCAACGCUGGCGGCGUGCCUAACACAUGCAAGUCGAACGCGAAAGCCCCGCAAGGGGUAAGUAGAGUGGCAAACGGGUGAGUAACACGUGGGUGACCUGCCUUCGAGUGGGGGAUAACGUCCCGAAAGGGACGCUAAUACCGCAUAAUAUGCCGCCUUUGAAGAGGUGGACAUCAAAGCUGGGGAUCGCAAGACCUAGCGCUGGAAGAGGGGCCCGCGCCCGAUUAGCUAGUUGGUGAGGUAAUGGCUCACCAAGGCUACGAUCGGUAGCCGGCCUGAGAGGGCGGACGGCCACACUGGGACUGAGAAACGGCCCAGACUCCUACGGGAGGCAGCAGUGAGGAAUUUUCCGCAAUGGGCGAAAGCCUGACGGAGCGACGCCGCGUGUGGGAAGAAGGCCCUCGGGUCGUAAACCACUGUCGAAGGGGACGAUAAUGACGGUACCCUUGGAGGAAG
rnacentral:rRNA from 1 species